rnacentral:rRNA from 1 species
AUUGAACGCUGGCGGCAUGCCUUACACAUGCAAGUCGAACGGUAACGGGCCUUCGGGUGCCGACGAGUGGCGAACGGGUGGGUAAUGUAUCGGAACGUACCUUUCAGUGGGGGAUAACGUAGCGAAAGUUACGCUAAUACCGCAUAUUCUGUGCGCAGGAAAGCAGGGGAUCGCAAGACCUUGCGCUGAUUGAGCGGCCGAUAUCAGAUUAGCUAGUUGGUGAGGUAAAGGCUCACCAAGGCGACGAUCUGUAGCGGGUCUGAGAGGAUGAUCCGCCACACUGGAACUGAGACACGGUCCAGACUCCUACGGGAGGCAGCAGUGGGGAAUUUUGGACAAUGGGGGCAACCCUGAUCCGGCCAUGCCGCGUGAGUGAAGAAGGCCUUCGGGUUGUAAAGCUCUUUCGGCCGGGAAGAAAUCGUAUCAGCUAAUACCUGGUGCGGAUGACGGUACCGGCAUAAGGAGCACCGGCUAACUACGUGCCAGCCGCCGCAGUAACAC